CGCCCGCCGCGCCCCGCGCCGGUCCCGCCGCCCCCGCCCGGGGGAAUUUUCCGCAAUGGGCGAAAGCCUGACGGAGCAAGACCGCGUGGGGGAAGAAGGCUCUUGGGUUGUAAACCCCUUUUCUCUGGGAAGAAAGUUGUGAAAGCAGCCUGACGGUACCAGAGGAAUCAGCAUCGGCUAACUCCGUGCCAGCAGCCGCGGUAAGACGGAGGAUGCAAGCGUUAUCCGGAAUUAUUGGGCGUAAAGCGUACGUAGGCUGCUAAUUAAGUCUGUUGUCAAAGCCCGAGGCUCAACCUUGGAUCGGCAAUGGAAACUGAAUAGCUAGAGAGAGAUAGGGGCAGGAGGAAUUCCGGGUGUAGCGGUGAAAUGCGUAGAUAUCUGGAAGAACACCAGUGGCGAAAGCG
rnacentral:rRNA from 1 species